rnacentral:rRNA from 1 species
GAGGGUGCAAGCGUUAAUCGGAAUUACUGGGCGUAAAGCGCACGUAGGCUGUAGUGUAAGUCAGGGGUGAAAUCCCACGGCUCAACCGUGGAACUGCCUUUGAUACUGCACAACUUGAAUCCGGGAGAGGGUGGCGGAAUUCCAGGUGUAGGAGUGAAAUCCGUAGAUAUCUGGAGGAACAUCAGUGGCGAAGGCGGCCACCUGGACCGGUAUUGACGCUGAGGUGCGAAAGCGUGGGGAGCAAACAGGA